rnacentral:rRNA from 1 species
GAGUUUGAUCGUGGCUCAGAACGAACGCUGGCGGCAUGCCUAACACAUGCAAGUCGAACGGGAUCCGGACUUCGGUCCGGUGAGAGUGGCGGACGGGUGAGUAACGCGUGGGAACCUGCCCAAUGGUCUGGGAUAACCGCGGGAAACUGCGGCUAAUACCGGAUAAGCCCCCUCGGUUCGCCGGGGAGGGGAAAGAUUUAUCGCCGAUGGAGGGGCCCGCGUCCGAUUAGGUAGUUGGUGAGGUAACGGCUCACCAAGCCGACGAUCGGUAGCUGGUCUGAGAGGAUGAUCAGCCACACUGGGACUGAGAUACGGCCCAGACUCCUACGGGAGGCAGCAGUGGGGAAUAUUGGACAAUGGGGGCAACCCUGAUCCAGCAAUGCCGCGUGAGUGAUGAAGGCCUUAGGGUUGUAAAGCUCUUUUGGCGGGGACGAUGAUGACGGUACUCGCAGAAUAAGCCCCGGCUAACUUCGUGCCAGCCGCCGCCGUAAG